ensembl:lncRNA
AGGUACUGCAAUGAUUGGCAAUACUUCAUUAGUUUCUAAGCACCCGGGGGAAAUGAACACGAUGAAGUGUGAUCCCUAGAAGAAACUACAUUUCUUAAGUGAAGCUAUACUCCAUUACUGCAAUCACAACAAUAUAAGACUGAAGUGCAGAGUAGCAUGUAAUUGCAAAACCAUGAAAAUGAAAUAUAAUUAAAAAAAAAGUUCAAGAGGUUUAUUUGGCACAAAGUAGUCUGGUCUCAGAUGUUCUUUCUCCUUUGAACCAAGAAUGGAAAGUAUCUGAAAUUAAUGAGUGACAAUCAUCACCUAUCACACUGUCAAGUACAAGGAAAAAGAAGCAUGAGAAGAAUAAGGCCAAGGUCUACAAUUGACCUCAGACUGAGGGAUCACUGAGCAAAGGAUCAGGCAGAUAACUUUCCCUCACCACCAUCAGAGGUGGCUCCACAGUAGGAAAGUUAUGGUCAGGAAAGGUGAAGUUAAUUAGCACCUGCUGAUAUGGCUCUUUUGCUUUUGAGACCUCAGCAGGAGAGGUUUGUGCUGAGCCUAGUUCUGGGUGAUGGAGGCUGGCCAUGGUGUUUCACAUCCUCAGUGCAGACCAGACUGCAUCAAAUCAUCUACUAUGGAAGAAAAAAUAUGCUUUGUCACUGGAGUGCUGAAGGAAGUUGAAAAAUUAUCAGGAAAUAUCCAGUUUCUGUAAAUCGAUGCAUGGGAUGAAGCCGCAAGCAGCAGUGAGUGAAUUCAUGAAGGAAGUCAGAAGCAUGCUGAGAAUGUGUGAAAUAAGCAAGUGUGAGGAAAUUUCUUCUGAGCUAGAAAAGCCAUACAUAUUCGUCUCAGGAAGAAAAAUAGAAAGUGCUUAGGGAGACAUAAUUUAGGGAGAGUAAGAAUCUAAAUUUUCUGAUAAAAAUAUCCAGAGGCACCUAUCUGUCAACAUCUUGUUUAACUCUGAAGGAAAGAAACGCUGUGAGAAGAGUAUGCCAUUUUACCUUGUGGUCAAUGCAGCUGACAAGGUGGGCUAUGACUCAGAACAAAAGUCUUUAAUUUUAGAGGAAGAUUCUGAGCAAUGCAGGGGCCAUUUUCAUCCAUACUUUCAUUAUCUGAUGCCUUUGGCUGAAGCUUGAAAAUCUUGGUCCUUAUAGCUUCAGAAAACAAUAGAGAUUACAAAUAGAAAUCUUGUUAAACUAGUACAGUCAAUAAAGUAUAUAAACCUUAACA